rnacentral:rRNA from 1 species
UGGGGAAUUUUGGACAAUGGGCGCAAGCCUGAUCCAGCAAUGCCGCGUGCAGGAUGAAGGCCUUCGGGUUGUAAACUGCUUUUGUACGGAACGAAACGGCGAACUCUAAUAAAGUUUGCUAAUGACGGUACCGUAAGAAUAAGCACCGGCUAACUACGUGCCAGCAGCCGCGGUAAUACGUAGGGUGCAAGCGUUAAUCGGAAUUACUGGGCGUAAAGCGUGCGCAGGCGGUUAUAUAAGUCAUGUGUGAAAUCCCUCGGCUCAACCGGGGAACGACGCAUGAAACUGGCAAGCUAGAGUACCAAAGAGGGUGGUGGAAUUCCCGGUGUAGCGGUGAAAUGCGUAGAUAUCGUCAAGAACACCGAUAGCGAAGGCAGCUUACCAAGCUGUAACUGACACUGAGGCACGAAAGUGUGGGGAUCAAACAGGAUUAGAUACCCUCGUAGUCCCUGAGCGG